CGCUGCCUGCACACCAGAAGACUGUCCAUAUAUGUUGGGGAAAUGUUUAUUUAAAAACAUGAAAGGUGUCAGUUUCCAGGCUGUGGAAACAGGCAAACCAGUUCAUGUGCCCAGAGUUUCAAAUCAUGGCAACAUUUACUUCUGGAACUACAACAGACCUCAAGAGG
rnacentral:sRNA from 1 species